rnacentral:rRNA from 1 species
UACGUAGGGUGCGAGCGUUGUCCGGAAUUAUUGGGCGUAAAGAGCUUGUAGGCGGUUUGUCGCGUCUGCUGUGAAAAUCCGGGGCUCAACUCCGGACUUGCAGUGGGUACGGGCAGGCUAGAGUGUGGUAGGGGAGACUGGAAUUCCUGGUGUAGCGGUGGAAUGCGCAGAUAUCAGGAGGAACACCGAUGGCGAAAGCAGGUCUCUGGGCCACUACUGACGCUGAGAAGCGAAAGCAUGGGGAGCGAACAGG